GAUGAACGCUGGCGGCGUGCCUAAUACAUGCAAGUCGAGCGAACGGACGAGAAGCUUGCUUUUCUGAUGUUAGCGGCGGACGGGUGAGUAACACGUGGAUAACCUACCUAUAAGACUGGGAUAACUUCGGGAAACCGGAGCUAAUACCGGAUAAUAUUUUGAACCGCAUGGUUCAAAAGUGAAAGACGGUCUUGCUGUCACUUAUAGAUGGAUCCGCGCUGCAUUAGCUAGUUGGUAAGGUAACGGCUUACCAAGGCAACGAUGCAUAGCCGACCUGAGAGGGUGAUCGGCCACACUGGAACUGAGACACGGUCCAGACUCCUACGGGAGGCAGCAGUAGGGAAUCUUCCGCAAUGGGCGAAAGCCUGACGGAGCAACGCCGCGGGAGUGAUGAAGGUCUUCGGAUCGUAAAACUCUGUUAUUAGGGAAGAACAUAUGUGUAAGUAACUGGGCACAUCUUGACGGUACCUAAUCAGAAAGCCACGGCUAACUACGUGC
rnacentral:rRNA from 1 species